CCAACGUGGAUACCCCAGGAGGUCACUGCCUGGGCUCUGUCCUGGUGGCGUAGGGGAGCAUAGGCAUUGCCCAGUGAUGUACAGUCCCUUUCCACGCCGUUGGAGAUGAAGCUGGGCUUUGUGUCCGCCCCUGCAUAUUCCUACGACUUCUCAGAGUCCUGUGGACCGUGACUGAGGAGGCAAGCCAUGCAGGAAACAGUC
rnacentral:snoRNA from 1 species